AUUGAACGCUGGCGGCAUGCCUUACACAUGCAAGUCGAACGGCAGCACGGGUGCUUGCACCUGGUGGCGAGUGGCGAACGGGUGAGUAAUACAUCGGAACAUGUCCUGUAGUGGGGGAUAGCCCGGCGAAAGCCGGAUUAAUACUGCAUACGAUCUACGGAUGAAAGCGGGGGACCUUCGGGCCUCGCGCUAUAGGGUUGGCCGAUAGCUGAUUAGCUAGUUGGUGGGGUAAAGGCCUACCAAGGCGACGAUCAGUAGCUGGUCUGAGAGGUCGACCAGCCACACUGGGACUGAGACACGGCCCAGACUCCUACGGGAGGCAGCAGUGGGGAAUUUUGGACAAUGGGCGAAAGCCUGAUCCAGCAAUGCCGCGUGUGUGAAGAAGGCCUUCGGGUUGUAAAGCACUUUUGUCCGGAAAGAAAUCCUUGGCUCUAAUACAGUCGGGGGAUGACGGUACCGGAAGAAUAAGCACCGGCUAACUACGUG
rnacentral:rRNA from 1 species